rnacentral:tRNA from 2 species
CGGAGCGUAGCGCAGCCUGGUAGCGCACUUGGUUUGGGACCAAGUGGUCGGGAGUUCAAAUCUCUCCGCUCCGACCA